GAGACCCGGGUGAGCCAGGACUCCAGGGACAAAAGGGAGAUGUUGGCCUUAGGGGUCUUCCUGGAGUGCCUGGACAAGGAGCUCCUAUGGGGGACAUUGGAGGAAAAGGACAUAAAGGAGAAAAGGGCCAAGAAGGUUUGCUGGGCCAGGUUGGUGUUGCUGGAGGCGCAGGACCUGCUGGAGCCAGAGGACAGUUUG